rnacentral:rRNA from 1 species
CGCCGCGUGCAGGAUGACACUUUUCGGAGCGUAAACUGCUUUUCUGAGGGACGAGUAAGGACGGUACCUCAGGAAUAAGCCCCGGCUAACUACGUGC